CCCAAGAACUGCAAGAUCAUGACCUGAGCCAAAGUCAGAUGCUUCUGUGACUGAGCCACCCAGGCGCUCCUUCACUGAACUGUACCUUGAGGGAAGGAGCCAACCUGCAUUCUCUUCCAGAGAAGCUGGAGAUGAGCUACAGCAGUGACAUCAAGUGGUUGUUAUAGGGUAUCUUCCUUUCAAUUUGGGAUUUUGACUUUGAUAUUAAAGCAAAUUACCUUAA